AAGUAGUAGAUUGUAUCCCGUAGUAUAGCUCUUAUUAGAAUAGUUCAUUGUUCCCUUUGUACCAUUGUAAUCUUGUAUAGUGCUGUCUAAAUACUACUAUAGCUCUUCUGUAUACUUGUUAUUAUCAGCUUUGAGGCAGGAACCUGCAAGUAGACUUAUUUUAUCACCCUCCAGUCGCCCACACACUCGUAAUAGCAAUUGUCCUUCCUCCUUUCAGGCGAUUUUACGUGCAGUUUCUGUACGUAAACGACAGCAACCACGAACCCUACGUGCUGACAAUCGCCGGAUGUGAGGAGUUCUGCCCAUUCGACGACUUCUAUGACCUGAACGAUGAGGUCAUCCUUAACCCUGGCAGGUGGAGACGCGCGUGCGAACUUCCACCUAUCACAUGGCUUAGCGGGUUUCUCUACGGCGUGUUCUUCGUGAGCAUCGUGCUGCUCGUGGCGCUGAGCCUGAUGCCCCAUCUUCGGCCACACGCCUCAUCGGGAGGCAGGAAGACUCAGUAGUAACGCCUCUUCAUGACGUUAGCUGAUAAAAGGGCGACCAAAUCCCGCAGUUGUAAUUCUCGAUUGUACAUCACACUUGCUGUACGUUACCGUCUGUAACUGCUUGAUCCGAUAAUAAAGAAACAGAGCAAUG